rnacentral:SRP_RNA from 1 species
GCCGGGCGCGGUGGCUCACGCCUGUAAUCCCAGCACUUUGGGAGGCCGAGGUGGGUGGAUCACCUGAGGUCAGGAGUUUGAGACCAGCCUGGCCAACAUGGUGAAACCCCAUCUCCA